UUGCCUACGGGGGGCAGCAGUGGGGGAUAUUGCACAAUGGGGGAAACCCUGAUGCAGCGACGCCGCGUGUGGGAAGACGGUCCUCUGGAUUGUAAACCACUGUCCCCAGGGACGAAAAUGACGGUACCUGGGGAGGAAGCUCCGGCUAACUACGUGCCAGCAGCCGCGGUAAUACGUAGGUGGCAAGCGUUAUCCGGAUUUAUUGGGUGUAAAGGGCGUGUAGGCGGGAGCGCAAGUCAGAUGUGAAAACUCAGGGCUCAACCCUGAGCCUGCAUUUGAAACUGUGUUUCUUGAGUGCUGGAGAG
rnacentral:rRNA from 1 species